rnacentral:sRNA from 1 species
GCAGCCGCAAAAUCGGCUGCCGGGAUUCGAACCCCGGAUAUCUGUAGAGACGCAUACCGCGUUUCGCGGUUUUUUU